rnacentral:sRNA from 1 species
CCUCUCUUGGGGAGUAGCCGGCUUCCAUUCGCAUGGAAGCGCCUGCGUCAACACACUUGAGCCUUCUCCGGGCUCAUGGCGCAGGUAGCCAGUUCUGGUUGGCGAGACCAACGACGUGCCAGCGCGACUUCGGGUCGGGCAGUGGUGGCAUGUCGUUGCGACUCCGCCCGACCCUUGGAC